GGUUAAGCGACUAAGCGUACACGGUGGAUGCCCUGGCAGUCAGAGGCGAUGAAGGACGUGUUAAUCUGCGAUAAGCGUCGGUAAGGUGAUAUGAACCGUUAUAACCGGCGAUUUCCGAAUGGGGAAACCCAGUGUGAUUCGUCACACUAUCAUUAACUGAAUCCAUAGGUUAAUGAGGCGAACCGGGGGAACUGAAACAUCUAAGUACCCCGAGGAAAAGAAAUCAACCGAGAUUCCCCCAGUAGCGGCGAGCGAACGGGGAGCAGCCCAGAGCCUGAAUCAGUGUGUGUGUUAGUGGAAGCGUCUGGAAAGGCGUGCGAUACAGGGUGACAGCCCCGUACACAAAAAUGCACAUAUUGUGAGCUCGAUGAGUAGGGCGGGACACGUGGUAUCCUGUCUGAAUAUGGGGGGACCAUCCUCCAAGGCUAAAUACUCCUGACUGACCGAUAGUGAACCAGUACCGUGAGGGAAAGGCGAAAAGAACCCCGGCGAGGGGAGUGAAAAAGAACCUGAAACCGUGUACGUACAAGCAGUGGGAGCACAGAGCAAUCUGUGUGACUGCGUACCUUUUGUAUAAUGGGUCAGCGACUUAUAUUCUGUAGCAAGGUUAACCGAAUAGGGGAGCCGAAGGGAAACCGAGUCUUAACUGGGCGUUAAGUUGCAGGGUAUAGACCCGAAACCCGGUGAUCUAGCCAUGGGCAGGUUGAAGGUUGGGUAACACUAACUGGAGGACCGAACCGACUAAUGUUGAAAAAUUAGCGGAUGACUUGUGGCUGGGGGUGAAAGGCCAAUCAAACCGGGAGAUAGCUGGUUCUCCCCGAAAGCUAUUUAGGUAGCGCCUCGUGAAUUCAUCUCCGGGGGUAGAGCACUGUUUCGGCAAGGGGGUCAUCCCGACUUACCAACCCGAUGCAAACUGCGAAUACCGGAGAAUGUUAUCACGGGAGACACACGGCGGGUGCUAACGUCCGUCGUGAAGAGGGAAACAACCCAGACCGCCAGCUAAGGUCCCAAAGUCAUGGUUAAGUGGGAAACGAUGUGGGAAGGCCCAGACAGCCAGGAUGUUGGCUUAGAAGCAGCCAUCAUUUAAAGAAAGCGUAAUAGCUCACUGGUCGAGUCGGCCUGCGCGGAAGAUGUAACGGGGCUAAACCAUGCACCGAAGCUGCGGCAGCGACACUAUGUGUUGUUGGGUAGGGGAGCGUUCUGUAAGCCUGUGAAGGUGUGCUGUGAGGCAUGCUGGAGGUAUCAGAAGUGCGAAUGCUGACAUAAGUAACGAUAAAGCGGGUGAAAAGCCCGCUCGCCGGAAGACCAAGGGUUCCUGUCCAACGUUAAUCGGGGCAGGGUGAGUCGACCCCUAAGGCGAGGCCGAAAGGCGUAGUCGAUGGGAAACAGGUUAAUAUUCCUGUACUUGGUGUUACUGCGAAGGGGGGACGGAGAAGGCUAUGUUGGCCGGGCGACGGUUGUCCCGGUUUAAGCGUGUAGGCUGGUUUUCCAGGCAAAUCCGGAAAAUCAAGGCUGAGGCGUGAUGACGAGGCACUACGGUGCUGAAGCAACAAAUGCCCUGCUUCCAGGAAAAGCCUCUAAGCAUCAGGUAACAUCAAAUCGUACCCCAAACCGACACAGGUGGUCAGGUAGAGAAUACCAAGGCGCUUGAGAGAACUCGGGUGAAGGAACUAGGCAAAAUGGUGCCGUAACUUCGGGAGAAGGCACGCUGAUAUGUAGGUGAAGUCCCUCGCGGAUGGAGCUGAAAUCAGUCGAAGAUACCAGCUGGCUGCAACUGUUUAUUAAAAACACAGCACUGUGCAAACACGAAAGUGGACGUAUACGGUGUGACGCCUGCCCGGUGCCGGAAGGUUAAUUGAUGGGGUUAGCGCAAGCGAAGCUCUUGAUCGAAGCCCCGGUAAACGGCGGCCGUAACUAUAACGGUCCUAAGGUAGCGAAAUUCCUUGUCGGGUAAGUUCCGACCUGCACGAAUGGCGUAAUGAUGGCCAGGCUGUCUCCACCCGAGACUCAGUGAAAUUGAACUCGCUGUGAAGAUGCAGUGUACCCGCGGCAAGACGGAAAGACCCCGUGAACCUUUACUAUAGCUUGACACUGAACAUUGAGCCUUGAUGUGUAGGAUAGGUGGGAGGCUUUGAAGUGUGGACGCCAGUCUGCAUGGAGCCGACCUUGAAAUACCACCCUUUAAUGUUUGAUGUUCUAACGUGGACCCGUAAUCCGGGUUGCGGACAGUGUCUGGUGGGUAGUUUGACUGGGGCGGUCUCCUCCUAAAGAGUAACGGAGGAGCACGAAGGUUGGCUAAUCCUGGUCGGACAUCAGGAGGUUAGUGCAAUGGCAUAAGCCAGCUUGACUGCGAGCGUGACGGCGCGAGCAGGUGCGAAAGCAGGUCAUAGUGAUCCGGUGGUUCUGAAUGGAAGGGCCAUCGCUCAACGGAUAAAAGGUACUCCGGGGAUAACAGGCUGAUACCGCCCAAGAGUUCAUAUCGACGGCGGUGUUUGGCACCUCGAUGUCGGCUCAUCACAUCCUGGGGCUGAAGUAGGUCCCAAGGGUAUGGCUGUUCGCCAUUUAAAGUGGUACGCGAGCUGGGUUUAGAACGUCGUGAGACAGUUCGGUCCCUAUCUGCCGUGGGCGCUGGAGAACUGAGGGGGGCUGCUCCUAGUACGAGAGGACCGGAGUGGACGCAUCACUGGUGUUCGGGUUGUCAUGCCAAUGGCACUGCCCGGUAGCUAAAUGCGGAAGAGAUAAGUGCUGAAAGCAUCUAAGCACGAAACUUGCCCCGAGAUGAGUUCUCCCUGACUCCUUGAGAGUCCUGAAGGAACGUUGAAGACGACGACGUUGAUAGGCCGGGUGUGUAAGCGCAGCGAUGCGUUGAGCUAACCGGUACUAAUGAACCGUGAGGCUUAACCUU
rnacentral:rRNA from 1 species